GGUGAUUUGCAUGGACCCCAGGAGGCUUACUAAAUGUGCACGUCCAAGUAAACAGCACAGGAAACGAGCCAUGAGGAUAUAAACCUGGUAAUUCUCCAUCAUAAGAAAGACAUCAUGCUGUCCACCUCAUGAAGGAAGAUGAGAUUAAGGCACACACACGGGGAGGGGCAGAAUUGGGCCUUCCAGUGGAGAUGGGCAGAUGACAAAUAAGCAGGUGGUUUUAUGAGUUUCAAGAGGGAUGAACACAG
rnacentral:lncRNA from 1 species